rnacentral:rRNA from 1 species
CAAUAGCGUAUAUUAAAGUUGUUGCAGUUAGAACGCUCGUAGUCGGAUUUCGGGGCGGGCCGACCGGUCUGCCGAUGGGUACGCACAGGUCGGCGCGUCCUUCCUUCCGGAGACCGUUCCUACUCUUAACUGAGCGGGGGCGGGAGACGGAUCGUUUACUUUGAAAAAAUCAGAGUGUUUCAAGCAGGCAGCUCGCUCUUGCAUGGAUUAGCAUGGGAUAAUGAAAUAGGACUUUGGUGCUAUUUUGUUGGUUUCGAACACCGAAGUAAUGAUUAAAAGGGACAGUCAGGGGCACUCGUAUUCCGCCGAGAGAGGUGAAAUUCUCAGACCAGCGGAAGACGAACUACUGCGAAAGCAUUUGCCAGGGAUGUUUUCACUGA